GGAGUGAAGUAUAGGCCUCAAAAUGCUCACAAAUAUCAUCAACCCCAUCAGAACUGGAGGUCAAAUCAUGUGCAAAUGAAGCAGAACUGAUCCGGUUUAAAGCUUUAAAGGUUUCAGGGUGCUGAUACUGGACUGAUCCGGUUUAAAGCUUUAAAGGUUUAAAAGUUUCAGGGUGCCGAUACUGGACUGAUCCGGUUUAAAGCUUUAAAAGUUUCAGGGUGCUGAUACUGGACUGAUCCGGUUUAAAGCUUUAAAGGUUUAAAAGUUUCAGGGCGCUGAUACUGGACUGAUCCGGUUUAAAGCUUUAAAGGUUUCAGGGUGCCGAUACAGGACUGAUCCGGUUUAAAGCUUUAAAGGUUCAAAAGUUUCAGGGUGCUGAUACUGGACUGAUCCGGUUUAAAGCUUUAAAGGUUUCAGGGUGCCGAUACUGGACUGAUCCGGUUUAAAGCUUUAAAGGUUUCAGGGUGCUGAUACUGGACUGAUCCGGUUUAAAGCUUUAAAGGUUUCAGGGUGCUGAUACUGGACUGAUCCGGUUUAAAGCUUUAAAGGUUUCAGGGUGCCGAUACUGGACUGAUCCGGUUUAAAGCUUUAAAGGUUCAAAAGUUUCAGGGUGCUGAUACUGGACUGAUCCGGUUUAAAGCUUUAAAGGUUUCAGGGUGCUGAUACUGGACUGAUCCGGUUUAAAGCUUUAAAGGUUUCAGGGUUCUGAUACUGGACUGAUCCGGUUUAAAGCUUUAAAGGUUUCAGGGUGCCGAUACUGGACUGAUCCGGUUUAAAGCUUUAAAGGUUUCAGGGUGCCGAUACUG